rnacentral:rRNA from 1 species
AGUGAACGCUGGCGGUAGGCCUAACACAUGCAAGUCGAACGGCAGCACAGUAAGAGCUUGCUCUUACGGGUGGCGAGUGGCGGACGGGUGAGGAAUACAUCGGAAUCUACUUUUUCGUGGGGGAUAACGUAGGGAAACUUACGCUACUACCGCAUACGACCUACGGGUGAAAGCAGGGGAUCUUCGGACCUUGCACGAUUGAAUGAGCCGAUGUCGGAUUAGCUAGUUGGCGGGGUAAAGGCCCACCAAGGCGACGAUCCGUAGCUGGUCUGAGAGGAUGAUCAGCCACACUGGAACUGAGACACGGUCCAGACUCCUACGGGAGGCAGCAGUGGGGAAUAUUGGACAAUGGGCGCAAGCCUGAUCCAGCCAUACCGCGUGGGUGAAGAAGGCCUUCGGGUUGUAAAGCCCUGUUGUUGGGAAAGAAAAGCAGCAGGUUAAUACCCCGCUGUUCUGACGGUACCCAAAGAAUAAGCACCGGCUAACUUCGUG